CUGACGUGGAACGGCUAGAGGAUUGAAUUGCCAAAUUCGAACUCUCUGAGGUUCUUCUGCAUUUUCAAAAUGCUGCAGUGGGAUUAGUUACUCAACUCGUGCUACUACCACCAUGGGCUUCAGAACACCUCUGGCAGAAAGGAAUCAAGCACAGGAGUAGAGAAGUCUUUCUUCCACUGUCUAGAUGCUGUCAGACCACACCUCCAAUAAUGCAGAAGAAUAAGAAGCUUGAACACACUCAACAGGUUGAAGAACAGCUUCUAUUCUGCUGGUAUGGGACAGAUGAAUGGACCUCCUCUAAUUUCAGUCUAAUGUUGAUCUUGCUUUGUGCAUCUGCUGUGUAGCCAAGCCCUGUAUACUUCGCUCUGUCGAAAUAACCAAUGACCUGUAUGUCCUUGCAUGUUAUGAUCUGCCUGUACUGCUCACAAAACAUGGCUUUUCACUGUAGUCAGGCUCAUGUGACAACAAUAACUCAAAUCAAAUCAUCCUGGACUGGUUGCAUACAAUACACAUGCAUGCAGUUGGAAUGGAUUCAAAAAUGAGCUUUGUCAAAUUUUGACCUUAAUAAUUUUACCUGAUGCUAGGAUCCAUUAGUAACACAUCCUAAACUCAAUUAUAUUUUUCAAAUAAAUAUAGCUUGUUAAGAAUAUAUUUUUGUUUUAGAAUAUGGCUAAGGAUGUACUAUCCUUUAACGUAAGUAAUGAAGUAAAAAUAUAGAGCUGGGAAUACAAGGUGGAAAAUUGUAAUUUUACAAAUAUUUAGAUUACACAAAAUGCAGCUACAGAAAAAUACAUUUGCAUCCAUUAGAGGUAACCUUCCCUGGUCCCUUCCUUCCCUUUCAUCAUCACAUUAAAAUGUCAUGUCAUACAAAUGCAUCAUGUGUGUUUCAACUACCUUUUUAUUCAUCUGAUCUUC